UUCAGCACAAUCUCUGGCGCGGACAGUGUCUACGGUCUUCGGACGCCGCUGAGAGAUGUGCAAGACCAUGGAAGGGCGGGAGUAAUCAUGACUCUCUCAAGGUAGCCAAAUGCCUCGUCGUCUAAUUAGUGAUGCGCAUGAAUGGA
rnacentral:ncRNA from 1 species